GACGAGGAGCUUGCUCCUCUGACGUUAGCGGCGGACGGGUGAGUAACACGUGGAUAACCUACCUAUAAGACUGGGAUAACUUCGGGAAACCGGAGCUAAUACCGGAUAAUAUAUUGAACCGCAUGGUUCAAUAGUGAAAGACGGUUUUGCUGUCACUUAUAGAUGGAUCCGCGCCGCAUUAGCUAGUUGGUAAGGUAACGGCUUACCAAGGCAACGAUGCGUAGCCGACCUGAGAGGGUGAUCGGCCACACUGGAACUGAGACACGGUCCAGACUCCUACGGGAGGCAGCAGUAGGGAAUCUUCCGCAAUGGGCGAAAGCCUGACGGAGCAACGCCGCGUGAGUGAUGAAGGUCUUCGGAUCGUCAAACUCUGUUAUUAGGGAAGAACAAAUGUGUAAGUAACUAUGCACGUCUUGACGGUACCUAAUCAGAAAGCCACGGCUAACUACGUGCCAGCAGCCGCGGUAAUACGUAGGUGGCAAGCGUUAUCCGGAAUUAUUGGGCGUAAAGCGCGCGUAGGCGGUUUUUAAGUCUGAUGUGAAAGCCCACGGCUCAACCGUGGAGGGUCAUUGGAAACUGGAAAACUUGAGUGCAGAAGAGGAAAGUGGAAUUCCAUGUGUAGCGGUGAAAUGCGCAGAGAUAUGGAGGAGCACCAGUGGCGAAGGCGACUUUCUGGCCU
rnacentral:rRNA from 1 species